rnacentral:rRNA from 1 species
UUCCCGGUCGGGGACGAGGGUGACAGGUGGUGCAUUGGUUGUCGUCAGCUCGUGUCGUGAGAUGUUGGGUUAAGUCCCGCAACGAGCGCAACCCUCGACCUUAGUUGCCAGCAUUCAGUUGGGCACUCUAAGGUGACUGCCGGACUAAAGUCGGAGGAAGGUGGGAUGACGUCAAAUCAUCAUGCCCCUUAUGACCUGGGCUACACACGUGCUACAAUGGGCGGUACAACGAGUUGCGAGUCGGUGACGGCGAGCUAAUCUCUUAAAGCCAAUCUCAGUUCGGAUUGUAGGCUGCAACUCGCCUACAUGAAGUCGGAAUCGCUAGUAAUCGCGGAUCAGCACGCCGCGGUGAAUACGUUCCCGGGCCUU